rnacentral:rRNA from 1 species
GUUUAUGGCUAUGCUACCCUGAACAAGCCCGAACCUGUCUGAUCUCGGAAGCUAAGCAGGGUCGGGCCUGUUUAGUACUUGGAUGGGAGACCACCUAGGAAGACCAGGUGCUAUAGGUG